rnacentral:rRNA from 1 species
GUGGGGAAUUUUGGACAAUGGGCGCAAGCCUGAUCCAGCCAUGCCGCGUGUGUGAAGAAGGCCUUCGGGUUGUAAAGCACUUUCGGCCGGGACGAAAUCGCUCGGGUUAACACCCAGGGUGGAUGACGGUACCGGAAGAAGAAGCACCGGCUAACUACGUGCCAGCAGCCGCGGUAAUACGUAGGGUGCAAGCGUUAAUCGGAAUUACUGGGCGUAAAGCGUGCGCAGGCGGUUUUGUAAGCCAGACGUGAAAUCCCCGGGCUUAACCUGGGAACUGCGUUUGGAACUGCAAGGCUAGAGUGCGGCAGAGGAAGGUGGAAUUCCUGGUGUAGCAGUGAAAUGCGUAGAUAUCAGGAGGAACACCGAUGGCGAAGGCAGCCUUCUGGGCUAGCACUGACGCUCAUGCACGAAAGCGUGGGGAGCAAACAGGAUUAGAAACCCUUGUAGUCC